rnacentral:rRNA from 1 species
CCUACGGGAGUCAGCAGUGGGGAAUAUUGGGCAAUGGGCGCAAGCCUGACCCAGCAACGCCGCGUGAAGGAAGAAGGCUUUCGGGUUGUAAACUUCUUUUCUCAGGGACGAAGAAAGUGACGGUACCUGAGGAAUAAGCCACGGCUAACUACGUGCCAGCAGCCGCGGUAAUACGUAGGUGGCAAGCGUUAUCCGGAUUUAAUGGGUGUAAAGGGCGUGUAGGCGGGAGCGCAAGUCAGAUGUGAAAACUCAGGGCUCAACCCUGAGCCUGCAUUUGAAACUGUGUUUCUUGAGUGCUUGAGAGGCAAUCGGAAUUCCGUGUGUAGCGGUGAAAUGCGUAGAUAUACGGAGGAACACCAGUGGCGAAGGCGGAUUGCUGGACAGUAACUGACGCUGAGGCGCGAAAGCGUGGGGAGCAAACAGGAUUAGAUACCCUAGUAGUC